CUAGACUCCACUCAGCCAUGGAGCUAACUGGGGCACAGGCUCUCAGCCCAACCUCCUCUCAUGGUUCUUGUUGUGCAGAAGUAUGCUGGAAGCAGAUGGGAAUCAUUUUGUUUUAAACAUCAUCCUGAGGUUUCCCCCUCUUCUCCACUCUGAGGUUUCAGCCAACCUAAAUAGAAGAGUGCUGUAAGGAUACUGGAGUCAUCUGGUGAAAUUCGUUGGCAGAAGAUGCAGGACAGACACAAGCACAUAUUUUUGUAUAAAAUUAAUUUAUGGGAUGAGCUGCUAUAAGACUUGAUGAGCCUCCAGUCUAAGAGGGAAUUAGACAGGUUCACGAAGAAAAAGGCAAUCGAUAACCUCUAGUCACAAUGGCCAUAUGGAAACCCCUCACAUGCUUCUGUGUGCCAGUGGCUGGAAACUCCAGCAGGUGGGUGUUGAUGCCCCAACUUUACGCUUCCUGGAGCCAUCUGUGUGCACAGAAUGCUGGACAAGACAGACUCCUGGUCUGACUGAGCAGGUCUCUUCUCAAGUUUUAUGGUUAUAGCUAUGCUGUGGACACUGCAUUCAGCAGAGCAAAAUAAAGUUGGCAAGAGGUAUGGGAAACAAUACCAAUUUUAAAAAGUUGUGUAAAGUGGGUACAUUUAGCCUAGAAAAGGGAAGACUGAGGGAAGGCAUACCAGCACUCUUCAAAGACCUUCAAAAACAGAAGAGAGAGCAGAGGACAGAAUUAGAUCUAAUGGGUUGGAAUUCCAGGAAGGUAGAUUUCAGCUGAGCAUGUCUAAAUGGUAACAACAGUGGAACCAUUACUGGACUGGUG